UUCCCUGCACUCCUCCGUUAGAGAGCACUCAUUAGGUAAAGAGGCCGUCUAUUCAAGAACUAGAUAAAAUAAAAAUCUGGUCUCUAGGGGGAGACGGUACAGGCAGAAUAAAGUCCUAACUAGAGAAAGAGUUAGUUUAUUAAGGGAGAGCUGGACCAUAUGAAAAAGGAGCACCAACAACUAACAAGAGGAAACUAUCUGGACAAUGAAAUGAAGGCUGCUCCUCUGUGCAAACUUGGGACAAGGAACACUAAUUUCAUAGGCCAAAUGUGGGACUGAGAGACUACAACGCCAUGAGAUAACAUGCUGCAAUACUUAUCAGCAAUUAGGUUUUUUUUUUUUUUUAAAUACUGUAAACCAAAUGAGAUGUGAGAAAAGGUCAACAGAAAAAAAUCUCUCAUUAUCUUAAUGCCCUAAGAAGAGCCAUAUGCAUUUAGGGUGAAUAGGAGACCAUGCAUGAGAGGCCUUCUGCCAUCCCACCUACAGCACUUCUAGUCUUUUGUGGAGAGUGAGCUGUGGUUUUGGGACAAGGAAAAUUAACUUCAGGGAGAUAAAGUACACUUGAGUUAAAAGUGAAGCACAAGUUGUUAGUGCAGAUUAGUCACUCAUGUGAUCUGUGAAUUUAAAUUCUCCAAGGCUUUUUUUAAUCUGGUAAGUGAGGGGACUGGUGAGUUACAGUUGAUCUUAAGGGCUCCUUCUAAAUCUAAGUUUAUAAUUCUCUACUUGUGAGAGGGCUGGUGGGAGACAGAAGCAGGAGCAGGGAACGGAAGGAAGGGUAAAGGAACUUGGUAAUCAGGGUGGGUAUGGGAUAACUAGUGAAUCCUGUCAAAUUUCGGAUGAUGUUACAGGCUGGUUUGUUCAAGAUUUACCCAGUGUCAUAGGAAGAGGGAUACUUCUCAUUCAGAGAAAUGCAGACAAAAGCCAGUCAACUUUAUUAGACUUUUUCCAAUUUGCCUUCCCAUUCUAGGUCAAGAAGUAACUUCUUUAUAUGUAUGCUCUAUAAAAGAUUCUCACAGUAACCACUCACCAGAGGCAACAAUCCUGGGAUGCACCCCCUUGUUACCUGCUGCUGUUGGCAAGAAUAAAGCUACAAAAAAGUAACAGAAUGAAAAAGAAGAGCAAGAACUGUGGCUCUAGAUAAAGAAUUCAACAAGUAAGACUCUGAAACAGGCACUCAGAUGAAAUGGCCUAACCCUAACCCCAGGUUACCAUUACCCCCACCCCCACCCUGUUAUGCCCCAAAUAGUAAAAAGGAAACGAUCACAAGCUCACAAUUGUUUGGUUCUCACCAAUGUUAACAAAGAAAAACAAAAUGAACCAAGAAGUACUUGAGGGGGUACCUCAAGAUACUCAAUCAGUAGGGGGAGAAUCUCUGUUUCUCGCCUUUCAGUUUGUUAGUUACACAUGGCACGGCAGAGGUGGUGGUGGUGGUAGCAGAAGCCCCGGUCCCCUUAGCAGCAGACACAACAUUUAGAGCCAGGAGAGGGAUGGGUUUCAUGCCAAGCAGACUGGAGACACAAGGGGCGGUCGGAAGAGGGUUGGGGAGGCUGGAGGGUGCGUCGGAGGUCCCCGCUGUGGCGAGCGAGGGGGUGGUGGUGGAGGAGGAAGAAGAAGAAGAAGGGGUGGAGGGUUGAGAGAGGUUGAUGCUGAGGUGAUCAGGGAUCGUGACGGAGGCUGCCUGGGAGGAGGGUUUAGCGUUUUCUAAACUGUAACAGAGGAAAAAAGGAACAAAAAAAAAAGGGUGGGUGGAAGGGAAGACCACAAAAGGGAUAAAGUACAGGACAAAAACCGCUUGUUAUCAGUUAAGUGCCUCUGGCUGCAAAUUAGGAAGACCUAAUACCAACUUGUGAUAAAAUGCCCCUCUUUCAGUCUGUGUCCCACCCUCUAAAAAAACGUACACUUUACCAAAUCCCAUUCCACAAGGCUAUAUAAAACUGUUAUGGUGAAGAAAAAGCAGACAGACUGAGAAAAGAAAUCACACAAAACACACUUCCAUGUAUCUGACACGUGGAUGCAACCCAGAAGUCAGAAAGAAAUGAUUUCAAAGUAGAAAAUGAAAGAAUAUUCAGAGCAAUCUCCGAACAAGGAACAAAAGUGUUACACUCACCAAUCCCUUGAGAAGGUGUAGAAUAUUAUUCUAUAGAAUUAGAAACUUUCCCCCCUAAUGCUGAAGUGUGCUUCCAUCUUCUACAACAAAUGAACCAAUGUACCAGGAUGGGAAAGGACAAGAAACCGAAGUAGGUCACUAAUUUCAACUUGAAAGAAUGUAGCCUUUUUAAAGAAAAAUGCUGAGAACAAAAGUGUAGAUAACAACUAGGAGAGCUUCCUUUCUGGUAAGAGGUGGGGGUGAGGAAAAAAAGCCCUUUCUUUUUCACGAAACAUACUUCUCAAAUAGACCUCACAGAACUGAAAAAUACUCAAGCACUCCCGAAAAACUCAUUUAAAAAAG